GGGCAGAUUCCAGAGCGGUCAAAUGGAAGAGACUGUAACUCUCUUAGCUUUGCUUUCGCGGGUUCGAAUCCCCCUCUGCCCACCA
rnacentral:tRNA from 1 species